AUGUUUAGUGUUCGGCGGUUGCUCGUGGAGGGAGGGUGUGUCGCUCGUCCAAGUGCAAGGCUAUGUCUCUUAUGACCCCGUGUUAACGCUUAUCGCCGAGGUGUGUUGAGGGUUGAAGAGGCCAAGUCAAGCAGAUGAGGAAACAGAGAGGAAAAUUGUCCUGAGGAGUUGGGAGCUGUGGUUCAAGGACACAUGGCCAGAGAACUAGAGGCAAAGGCAUCUCUCAUUUUACCUGUGCAAGAAAGCAUGGCACCAGUGGCUUGAUUGAUGACAUUUGUCUGCUGGCUUGCGUCCGUCUGUGUACCUUUGGAGGCCCCUGCUCGCUGGUAGGACUCCACCUAAGCCACGGAACAGUUGUGCUGACCCCUUAAGCCAGAGGAGUCAGCCACUGGGAACUGGUGUACCGGGAUCAUUUACCAACAAGCUACACACAGGUAUCGCGGAAUCUUAAAUACAGUGAUUGGAACAUUUUUUU